rnacentral:lncRNA from 1 species
UCUCAUAGAACCAACGAUUGAUUUGCAAUAUAUAAUGGGACAGAGGGAGUAUCAUGUCAUAAUACAAAAAUAAAGUACAAUGUAGAAAUAGUACAAAAUGAUAAUCCAUAUACGUCUAGACGCUUAAUUAAUUUUUCAUAACAGCAUAAUUACACGAUCAAGUAGCCUCGCUUGGAUCAGCCACCAGACCUGGUGCAGGAGGACUUGGCGGAGGUGAUGGUGGAUUAGCCUUCAUAUGUGGUCCACAAGGUCUCUUGAAAGGUGAUGGUGGCGGCGGUAAUUUAACUCGGAGGCUUUCAGACCAAGUACCUCUCUGACUCUCUAUAUUUGUUAAAGCACCUGCAUUAUCAAAGUUAAUAAGAUCAUGCUUUCUGAAUCCGCUCUGCCAAUCAGAAAACCAGUUUGAGUUCCGGAUAUCGCCUUUGGAACAGGCCAUGCAAAUAGAUAUGAGGAUAAAGAGAAGUGCUGCAAGAUUGAGCUUUGUGAGAAAGGCCAUAUUUUGUGGCUCUGUGCUGAUGUUUUGCUCAUCUCCUUGGAGUAUUUUAAACCCUUCCUUUGUGUUAGCUAAAGUUUA